ACGCCCCAGAGGCCGGACCUGGGCAACCCCAGCCUGGAGGUGCCGGGGCCGGAGCUCCCAGAGGGCUGGGUGCGAGGCCUAGGCGGGGUCAGGUUCGGGUUCCUAGGCCAUAGCGGAGCUGCAGCCCAGGCGGCCGGAGCGGAACCCAGCCCCGCUCCGAGUGCCACGUCUCCAGGAACCCCCUCCUUACUCUUGGACAACACUCCGCCCCCGCCCGGGCCUCCGUCCCCCAAACCGCCCUCAUUUGUGCAGCGCCAGAUCCUUCGGACACAUCCCUAGGUGUCUCCAUCCUCAUUCGGUCCAUCCAACUCCCAGACCUCACGUCAACCGGCUGCACCCCACUUUCCAGCCUGCGCCCCAGAUCUGCAGCCUUCGCCCCUAGAUACACCCGCCUGGUGAUGAGGCGCUCCUCGCGUUCCUUCCGGCUCCAGGUGUCCGUGAGCCUCCCUUCCGCCCUGGCCUCCGGUCUCUGCCUUGCUCGUGCUUCUACCACCACCCUUCCCCUCCCAACCCGGUGGAUCCUCUCGUCUCCCCCAGUCUCCAGUGCACCGGCUUUCCCUCGUCCUCUGCGCAGUCCAUCUCAGCUCAUCUCUCCAAUUCAAUGCCAUCAUCUCUCCUCACCAUCUCUCGGUGCCCUGGAAUGUUUGCUGUCAGAUGUCCCCUGUGAAACCCACAAACGCUUGCGAUUUGGCCUCCUUGUUUUAUUUUGUGUAGUCCUACAACGUCUUGUUACUACCCCCUAUUACAACACUUAUAACUCAG
rnacentral:lncRNA from 1 species